GGCGGGACACGUGGUAUCCUGUCUGAAUAUGGGGGGACCAUCCUCCAAGGCUAAAUACUCCUGACUGACCGAUAGUGAACCAGUACCGUGAGGGAAAGGCGAAAAGAACCCCGGCGAGGGGAGUGAAAAAGAACCUGAAACCGUGUACGUACAAGCAGUGGGAGCCUCUUUAUGGGGUGACUGCGUACCUUUUGUAUAAUGGGUCAGCGACUUAUAUUCUGUAGCAAGGUUAACCGUAUAGGGGAGCCGAAGGGAAACCGAGUCUUAACUGGGCGUUAAGUUGCAGGGUAUAGACCCGAAACCCGGUGAUCUAGCCAUGGGCAGGUUGAAGGUUGGGUAACACUAACUGGAGGACCGAACCGACUAAUGUUGAAAAAUUAGCGGAUGACCUGUGGCUGGGGGUGAAAGGCCAAUCAAACCGGGAGAUAGCUGGUUCUCCCCGAAAGCUAUUUAGGUAGCGCCUCGUGAACUCAUCUUCGGGGGUAGAGCACUGUUUCGGCUAGGGGGCCAUCCCGGCUUACCAACCCGAUGCAAACUACGAAUACCGAAGAAUGUUAUCACGGGAGACACACGGCGGGUGCUAACGUCCGUCGUGAAGAGGGAAACAACCCAGACCGCCAGCUAAGGUCCCAAAGUCAUGGUUAAGUGGGAAACGAUGUGGGAAGGCACAGACAGCCAGGAUGUUGGCUUAGAAGCAGCCAUCAUUUAAAGAAAGCGUAAUAGCUCACUGGUCGAGUCGGCCUGCGCGGAAGAUGUAACGGGGCUAAACCAUGCACCGAAGCUGCGGCAGCGACGCUUAGGCGUUGUUGGGUAGGGGAGCGUUCUGUAAGCCGUUGAAGGUGUGCUGUGAGGC
rnacentral:rRNA from 1 species